rnacentral:rRNA from 1 species
GCGGUAAUUCCAGCUCUGUAAGCGUAUACCAAAGUUGUUGCAGUUAAAACGCUCGUAGUCGAAUUUUGGCGUGCAACGUAGAAUGUUCGCGAGAAUGUUUCUAUGUUGGGCGCCUUUGUGGAUGGGGGCUUGAUGGCGCUUUGUUGCUUCGUUGAGUCACCGCCACCGUUUACUGUGAAAAAAUUAGAGUGUUCAAAGCGGGCGAUUGCCACGAAUACAUUAGCAUGGAAUAAUAGAAUAGGACCUGUGUCUUAUUUUGUUGGUUUUGUUAAGUUCAGGUAAUGAUUAAGAGGGACGGUUGGGGGCAUUUGUAUUCCGGCGCUAGAGGUGAAAGUCUCGGAUU